UCGAAUUUCAAGUUUUCAACCAAUCAAUUCAAACCUGUACUCAAAUGGGCCGUAAAAGUCCCACACCGGCCCAAAUAUACAUAUAUAUACGUAUAAUUUUCCGCAACACAUUAUUCAUCGUACUAACCUUCAAAAAGGAAGAAUCAAAGGAAGUACCCUUCUUCUACACAGGCGUACAAAUACAAGUCACAAUGGCGAGGCCCCAUGCCGAUGCUUGGACAGCGCCAUUGGCACCUGCAGUUUCGGACGAUUGGGAGGCCGCUGAAGUACCGGCAGCUGUCAAGUCGUUUUGAUUGUUGGAUUCAGAGGUAGAAUUAGAACAGGAUGCAUCGUCGGUUGGACCAGUUCCGGGAUCGGUUUGUUGAGCCGACGACUCCUCAUCUCCAUCAUUUUUUUCUGACUGAUCGUUUUUUUUCUUGGGGAGUGGUGGUAAGCUUGUCUUGACCGAUCCUUCUUCUGGCUUUGCAGAAGCAUUGGUAGGCUUUGGCGGCGGCGCGGCGGCGCCGGCACGCUUCUUUUUGGACUGUAUUUCGACAACGGGUGCCUUGUUUUUUAUGCUGCAGGGCCAUGUAGUAGCAGCAGUUACGUCUUUACUGUGGAAGUGCUCGUAAGCCUGAACUGUUACCACACCUUUUUUCUUGGCAGCUCCAUUGUUGUUGUUUCUGGAAUCAUCGACUUUCCAGAUGUAUACUCGGGAAUCUUCGCUCGCGCUGAUCACGUGUUUUCCAUUUGGAGUAAAGGAAGCUGCGAUCUGGCUGCUGGUAUUGUGAACUCCUGCAGAGGAAAAGAUCCAUCAGUUCAGAUUCCGAUCCGGGAGCCGGUGGAAGAGAUAAGAACCUCGGAUGAAUUCCACGGGGCAAACUGACAACCGGUAAUUUUUCCCG